rnacentral:rRNA from 1 species
AACGAACGCUGGCGGCAGGCUUAACACAUGCAAGUCGAACGCCCCGCAAGGGGAGUGGCAGACGGGUGAGUAACACAUGGGAACAUGCCCAAAGGUACGGAAUAUUCUCGGGAAACUGGGAGCAAUACCGUAUGUGCCCGAAAGGGGAAAGAUUUAUCGCCUUUGGAUUGGCCCGCGUUGGAUUAGCUAGUUGGUGGGGUAAAAGCCUACCAAGGCGACGAUCCAUAGCUGGUCUGAGAGGACGACCAGCCACACUGGGACUGAGACACGGCCCAGACUCCUACGGGAGGCAGCAGUGGGGAAUCUUGGACAAUGGGCGCAAGCCUGUUCCAGCCAUGCCGCGUGAGUGAUGAAGGCCCUAGGGUUGUAAAGCCCUGUCGGGAGGAACGAAUCAAUGACGGUACCUCCCAAGAAAGCACCGGCUAACUCCGUG